rnacentral:rRNA from 1 species
GGGCUUGACAUCCCACGAACCUGCCCGAAAGGGUAGGGUGCCCGCAAGGGAGCGUGGAGAAAGGUGGUGCAUGGCUGUCGUCUGCUCGUGUCGUGAGAUGUUGGGUUAAGUCCCAGCAACGAACUCAACCUCACCCCUUGUUGCCACCGGGUCAUGCCGAGCACUCCAGGGGAACUGCCAGCGUCAAGCUGGAGGCAGGCGGGGAUGACGUCAUGUCAUCAUGCCCAUUACGCCCUGGGCGACACACGUGCUACAAUGGCUGGUACAAUGGGAUGCAAAACUGCGAGGUCGAGCUAAUCCCAAAAAACCGGUCUAAGUUCAGAUUGCUGUCUGCAACUGGACUGCAUGAAGGAGGAAUAGCUAGUAAUCGCGCAUCUGCACGGCGCGGUGAAUACGUUCCCGGUCCUUGUACACACCGCCCGUCACACCACGAAAGCCGGCUGUACUCGAAGUCGCUGAG